rnacentral:lncRNA from 1 species
ACACACUCCCUACACACACACACACAUUCCUGCCAUUAUCACUCCACACACUCCCACAUACUCCCACAUACUCCCACAUACUCCACACACUCCACACACAUACUCCACACAACCCAUACACUACCACACUCCACACACACACUACUCACAUUCCACACAAUCCACUCACUACCCAUACUCCUCACACUCCAACAUACUCCAGACACUCCCCACACAGACUCCACACAAUCCAUACACUCCACACACUCCACACACACACUCCUCACAUUCCCACAUACUCCACACACUACCCACACUCCACACACACACUCCUCACACUCCCACAUACUCCACACAAUAUCCACACACACACUCCUCACACUCCCACAGACUCCACACAAUCCAUACACUCCACACACUCCACACACACACUCCUCACAUUCCCACAUACUCCACACACUACCCACACUCCACACACACAGUCCUCACACUCCCACAUACUCCACACAAUAUCCACACACACACACUCCUCACACUCCCACAUACUCCCCACACUCCCACAGACUCCACACAAUCCAUACACUCCACACACACACUCCUCACACUCCCACAUACUCCACACACUCCCCACACAGACUCCACACAAUCCAUACACUCCACACACACACACUCCUCACUUUCCCACAUACUCCUCACACUCCCACAGACUCCACACAAUCCAUACACUCCACACACUCCACACACACACACUCCUCACUUUCCCACAUACUCCCCACACUCCCACAUACUCCACACACACAAUCCACACACUACCCACACUCCACACACACACACUUCUCACAUUCCCACAUACUCCACACACUCCUCACACUCCACACACUCCUCACACUCCACACACACGCUCCUCAUACUCCCACAUACUCCACACACUCCCGCACAGCUACUGAAUGUGAUGUUCUGAUAGUUUUGGAGAUACAAGCAUUUCCUGAUCAGUCCAGCCCCUCUUUCCCUGCAGCUUCAGUCUGAUUACAGCCUCUGAUAUUACUGACCAAUUUCACAAACUCUGACUCUAAAUAAUCGCCCUGUUUACAGUCCUGAGUUCACUGUGUUUAUACUGUAUACAGUGUAUUCAGUGUCCUGUAAUUAC